GGGGAUUAGCUCAGCUGGCUAGAGCGCCUGCCUUGCACGCAGGAGGUCAUCGGUUCGACUCCGAUAUCCUCC
rnacentral:tRNA from 2 species